UUAAAAUUAUAGCACGAGUGUUCGGUCUAGUCACUUUAUAUAGAUAAUGGUAUAUUGUUUGAAAAAGCGACCAUACCGACAAUCGCCAUUUAAUUUUAAAAU
rnacentral:pre_miRNA from 1 species